CCGGUAGCUAAGUGCGGAAGAGAUAACCGCUGAAAGCAUCUAAGCGGGAAACUUGCCUCGAGAUGAGUCUUCCCUGGACACUAGAUGUCCCUGAAGGGCCGUUGAAGACGACGACGUAGAUAGGCUGGGUGUGUAAGCGUAGCGAUACGUUGAGCUAACCAGUACUAAUGACCCGAGAGGCUUAACCUUACAACACCGAAGGUGUUU
rnacentral:rRNA from 1 species